rnacentral:rRNA from 1 species
UACAGAGGUGGCAAGCGUUGUUCGGAAUUACUGGGCGUAAAGGGCGCGUAGGCGGUCAGGUCAGUCCCGUGUGAAAUCCCUCGGCUCAACUGAGGAACUGCACGGGAAACUGCCUGGCUUGAGUUCGGGAGAGGGAAGCGGAAUUCCUGGUGUAGCGGUGAAAUGCGCAGAUAUCAGGAGGAACACCGGUGGCGAAGGCGGUUCUCUGGGCAACAACUGACGCUGAGGAGCGAAAGCGUGGGGAGCGAACAGG